rnacentral:rRNA from 1 species
CGUCGGGAAAUCCACUGGCUCAACCAGUGGGCGUCCGGCGGAAACCGCUCGGCUUGGGACCGAGAGACCAGAGGGGUACGUCCGGGGUAGGAGUGAAAUCCCGUAAUCCUGGACGGACCGCCGAUGGCGAAAGCACCUCGAGAAGACGGAUCCGACAGUGAGGGACGAAAGCUGGGGUCUCGAACCGGAUUAGAUACCCGGGUAGUCCCAGCCGUAAACAAUGCCUGUUAGGUGCGGCACCGACUACGAGUCGGUGCUGUGCCGUAGGGAAGCCGAUAAACAGGCCGCCUGGGAAGUACGUCCGCAAGGAUGAAACUUAAAGGAAUUGGCGGGGGAGCACUACAACCGGAGGAGCCUGCGGUUUAAUUGGACUCAACGCCGGACAUCUCACCAGCAUCGACUGUAGCAAUGAUCAUCAGGUUGAUGACCUCUAUGUUGAGCUACAGAGAGGAGGUGCAUGGCCGCCGUCAGCUCGUACCGUGAGGCGUCCUGUUAAGUCAGGCAACGAGCGAGACCCGCACCUCUAGUUGCCAGCAGCAUCUCGCGAUGGCUGGGUACACUAGGGGGACUGCCGCUGCCAAAGCGGAGGAAGGAACGGGCAACGGUAGGUCAGUAUGCCCCGAAUGAGCUGGGCCACACGCGGGCUACAAUGGCCGGGACAGUGGGACGCUACCCCGAGAGGGGACGCUAAUCUCCUAAACCCGGUCGUAGUUCGGAUUGAGGGCUGAAACUCGCCCUCAUGAAGCUGGA